rnacentral:tRNA from 1 species
AUUUAAGUAGUUUAAUUAAAACAGUAAUUUGUGGAAUUAAAAAUAUACUUUAAAUAAUUAUCUUAAAUU